GUCGGGAUAGCUCAGCUGGUAGAGCAGAGCAGAGGACUCAAAAUCCUCGUGUCACCAGUUCAAAUCAGGUUCCUGACA
rnacentral:tRNA from 1 species